rnacentral:rRNA from 1 species
UCUGUAACUGACGCUGAUGUGCGAAAGCGUGGGGAUCAAACAGGCAUAGAUAGCCUGGUAGUUCACGCCGUAAGCGAUGAGUGUUAAGUGUUAGGGGGUAUCCGCCCCAUAGUAGUGCAGCUAACGCAUUAAUCACUCCGCCUGGGGAGUACGACCGCAAGGUUGAAACUCAAAGGAAUUGACGGGGGGCCGCACAAGCGGUGGAGCAUGUGGUUUAAUUAGAAGCAACGCGAAGAACCUUACCAAAUCUUGACAUCCUUUGAAAACUUUAGAGAUAGAGCCUUCCCCUUCGGGGGACAAAGUGACAGGUGGUGCAUGGUUGUUGUCAGCUUGUGUUGUGAGAUGUUGGGUUAAGUUCCGCAACGAGCGCAACCCUUAAGCUUAGUUGCCAUCAUUAAGUUGGGCACUCUAGGUUGACUGCCGGGGACAAACCGGAGGAAGGUGGGGAUGACGUCAAAUCAUCAUGCCCCUUAUGAUUUGGGGUACACACGUGCUACAAUGGACAAUACAAAGGGCAGCUAAACCGCGAGGUCAUGCAAAUCCCAUAAAGUUGUUUUCAGUUCGGAUUGUACUGUGCAACUCGAGUACAUGAAAAGGGAAUCUCUAGUAAUAUUAGAUCAGCAUACUACGGGGAAUACGUUCCCGGGUCUUGUACACACCGCCCGUCACACCCCGAGAGUUUGUAACACCCGAAAAGCGGUGGAGUAACC